rnacentral:pre_miRNA from 1 species
UCAGUACUUCCUCUGUCCCAUAAUUCUUGUCAAAAUAUUACAUGUAUCUAAACGCUUUUUAGGAAUAGAUACAUCCAUUUUUGGGCAAAUCUGAGACAAGAAUUAUGGAACGGAGGGAGUAACAC